rnacentral:rRNA from 1 species
GACGGGACCCGCACAAGCGGUGGAUGAUGUGGAUUAAUUCGAUGCAACGCGAAAACCUUACCUACCCUUGACAUGUCUGGAACCUUGCUGAGAGGCGAGGGUGCCUUCGGGAGCCAGAACACAGGUGCUGCAUGGCUGUCGUCAGCUCGUGUCGUGAGAUGUUGGGUUAAGUCCCGCAACGAGCGCAACCCUUGUCAUUAGUUGCCAUCAUUUAGUUGGGCACUCUAAUGAGACUGCCGGUGACAAACCGGAGGAAGGUGGGGAUGACGUCAAGUCCUCAUGGCCCUUAUGGGUAGGGCUUCACACGUCAUACAAUGGUCGGUACAGAGGGUUGCCAAGCCGCGAGGUGGAGCCAAUCCCUUAAAGCCGAUCGUAGUCCGGAUUGGAGUCUGAAACCCGACUCCAUGAAGGUGGAAUCGCUAGUAAUCGCGCAUCAGCAUGGCGCGGUGAAUACGUUCCCGGGCCUU